rnacentral:rRNA from 1 species
AUAGUUUGAAGUGUGAAGCAUGUAAGUGCCCCUUCGGGGGAACACGUAGUAGGCGAACGGGUGAGUAACACGUGGGUAAUCUGCCCUGCACUUCGGGAUAAGCCUGGGAAACCGGGUCUAAUACCGGAUAUGAACUCCUGCCGCAUGGUGGGGGUUGGAAAGUUUUUCGGUGCAGGAUGAGCCCGCGGCCUAUCAGCUUGUUGGUGGGGUAAUGGCCUACCAAGGCGACGACGGGUAGCCGGCCUGAGAGGGUGAUCGGCCACACUGGGACUGAGACACGGCCCAGACUCCUACGGGAGGCAGCAGUGGGGAAUAUUGCACAAUGGGCGAAAGCCUGAUGCAGCGACGCCGCGUGGGGGAUGACGGUCUUCGGAUUGUAAACCCCUUUCAGUAGGGACGAAGCGCAAGUGACGGUACCUGCAGAAGAAGCACCGGCUAACUACGUGCCAGCAGCCGCGGUAAUACGUAGGGUGCGAGCGUUGUCCGGAAUUACUGGGCGUAAAGAGCUCGUAGGCGGUUUGUCACGUCGUCUGUGAAAUCCCUCGGCUUAACCGGGGGCGUGCAGGCGAUACGGGCAGACUUGAGUACUACAGGGGAGACUGGAAUUCCUGGUGUGCGGUGAAAUGCGCACAUAUCAAGAGGAACACCCGUGGCGAAAGCGUGUCUCUG